rnacentral:rRNA from 1 species
UUAAGCGACUAAGCGUACACGGUGGAUGCCCUGGCAGUCAGAGGCGAUGAAGGACGUGCUAAUCUGCGAUAAGCGUCGGUAAGGUGAUAUGAACCGUUAUAACCGGCGAUUUCCGAAUGGGGAAACCCAGUGUGAUUCGACACACUAUCAUUAACUGAAUCCAUAGGUUAAUGAGGCGAACCGGGGGAACUGAAACAUCUAAGUACCCCGAGGAAAAGAAAUCAACCGAGAUUCCCCCAGUAGCGGCGAGCGAACGGGGAGCAGCCCAGAGCCUGAAUCAGUGUGUGUGUUAGUGGAAGCGUCUGGAAAGGCGCGCGAUACAGGGUGACAGCCCCGUACACAAAAAUGCACAUACUGUGAGCUCGAUGAGUAGGGCGGGACACGUGGUAUCCUGUCUGAAUAUGGGGGGACCAUCCUCCAAGGCUAAAUACUCCUGACUGACCGAUAGUGAACCAGUACCGUGAGGGAAAGGCGAAAAGAACCCCGGCGAGGGGAGUGAAAAAGAACCUGAAACCGUGUACGUACAAGCAGUGGGAGCACGCUUAGGCGUGUGACUGCGUACCUUUUGUAUAAUGGGUCAGCGACUUAUAUUCUGUAGCAAGGUUAACCGAAUAGGGGAGCCGAAGGGAAACCGAGUCUUAACUGGGCGUUAAGUUGCAGGGUAUAGACCCGAAACCCGGUGAUCUAGCCAUGGGCAGGUUGAAGGUUGGGUAACACUAACUGGAGGACCGAACCGACUAAUGUUGAAAAAUUAGCGGAUGACUUGUGGCUGGGGGUGAAAGGCCAAUCAAACCGGGAGAUAGCUGGUUCUCCCCGAAAGCUAUUUAGGUAGCGCCUCGUGAAUUCAUCUCCGGGGGUAGAGCACUGUUUCGGCAAGGGGG